rnacentral:rRNA from 1 species
UACGAAGGGGGCUAGCGUUGCUCGGAAUCACUGGGCGUAAAGCGCACGUAGGCGGACUCUUAAGUCGGUGGUGAAAUCCUGGAGCUCAACUCCAGAACUGCCUUCGAUACUGAGAGUCUCGAGUCCGGGAGAGGUGAGUGGAACUGCGAGUGUAGAGGUGAAAUUCGUAGAUAUUCGCAAGAACACCAGUGGCGAAGGCGGCUCACUGGCCCGGUACUGACGCUGAGGUGACGAAAGCGUGGGGAGCAAACAGG